AAGGUUUUAAGUUAAUUAGACUAGUAUCCUUCAAAGAUACAAAUAGGAGUAAAAUCUUCUAAGCUUUA
rnacentral:tRNA from 1 species